AUACGUAGGGGGCGAGCGUUGUCCGGAAUGAUUGGGCUAAAGGGCGCGUAGGCGGCCUGUUAAGUCUGGAGUGAAAGUCCUGCUUUCAAGGUGGGAAUUGCUUUGGAAACUGGCGGGCUGGAGUGCAAGAGAGGUUAGCGGAAUUCCCGGUGUAGCGGUGAAAUGCGUAGAGAUCGGGAGGAACACCAGUGGCGAAGGCGGCUAACUGGACUGUAACUGACGCUGAGGCGCGAAAGCGUGGGGAGC
rnacentral:rRNA from 1 species